rnacentral:lncRNA from 9 species
AGAUUUCCAGGGCGAUGUCUUGAGCUAGGGAUCCAUGGGGUUCUGUCUUCGACCGUGUAGUUCAGGCAGGAGUUGGAGGAGAGAAGUUGAGCUCCAGUCCUUCUAUUCCUCCAUCUUAAUCCAAGAUCGCAGGAGUUGUUGCUGAACAAGGAUGAGACCCAGAUGUCCCAGCUCCAAUCCUGGCAAAGGAGGACCCAGGGCAGCGUCCGCUGUCCUUAGAUAUUUGCAUGGCUGGGAGAAGCCACAGAAAUUGGCUGGAGAAUGUUUGCAGACCUGGGUCAUCAUCUGAACCAUUUGCUGAGCUCUAAAAACAGGGAUCCCUGGGCUACCAUUCUUUGGAGGAACUAAUGAGCCGUGAAUGCCUCUCCGCUCUGCCAGCUUCAUGCCACCUCAUGACUGCUGCCACCUGCUCAAGAAGAUGGAGGCCUGGAGUUCCCAUCAUGGCUCAGUGGUAAUGAACCCAACUAGUAUCCAUGAGGACAUGGGUCAAUCUCUGGUCUCGCUCAGUGGGUUAAGGACCUGGCAUUGCUGUGGCUGUGGUGAAGUCCGGCAGCUAUAGCUCCUAUUCAACUCUUGGCCCAGGAACUUCCAUAUGCUGGAGGUGAGGCCCCAAAAAGACAAAAGAAAAAAAAAAAAGGAUGGAGGCCUGUGGUCAUCCAGGCAGGUGUGUGAAGUGGAGGCACAGACUGGGGGUGACAAGGCAAAGGUGGCCCUUGCAGACAGGCUGGAGCUGGUUUGGGGCUCUGGAAAGGAUGGAUGCCCCAGCCCAGCCCGCUGGUAGGUUGCAGCUGCUGCUCUGACCUCCUUGCCUUUUCCUCUUCA